AUCCAGACUCCUACGGGAGGCAGCAGUGGGGAAUAUUGCACAAUGGGGGAAACCCUGAUGCAGCGACGCCGCGUGAGCGAUGAAGUAUUUCGGUAUGUAAAGCUCUAUCAGCAGGGAAGAAGAUGACGGUACCUGACUAAGAAGCCCCGGCUAACUACGUGCCAGCAGCCGCGGUAAUACGUAGGGGGCAAGCGUUAUCCGGAUUUACUGGGUGUAAAGGGAGCGUAGACGGCGAUGCAAGCCAGAUGUGAAAGCCCGGGGCUCAACCCCGGGACUGCAUUUGGAACUGUGUGGCUGGAGUGUCGGAGAGGCAGGCAGAAUUCCUAGUGUAGCGGUGAAAUGCGUAGAUAUUAGGAGGAACACCAGUGGCGAAGGCGGCCUGCUGGACGAUGACUGACGUUGAGGCUCGAAAGCGUGGGGAGCAAACAGGAUUAGAUACCCUAGUA
rnacentral:rRNA from 1 species